rnacentral:rRNA from 1 species
AACGAACGCUGGCGGCAUGCCUAACACAUGCAAGUCGAACGAGACCGUCGGGUCUAGUGGCGCACGGGUGCGUAACGCGUGGGAACCUGCCCUUAGGUUCGGAAUAACUCCCCGAAAGGGGUGCUAAUACCGGAUAAUGUCUUCGGACCAAAGAUUUAUCGCCUUUGGAUGGGCCCGCGUUGGAUUAGCUAGUUGGUAGGGUAAAAGCCUACCAAGGCGACGAUCCAUAGCUGGUCUGAGAGGAUGAUCAGCCACACUGGGACUGAGACACGGCCCAGACUCCUACGGGAAGCAGCAGUGGGGAAUAUUGGACAAUGGGCGAAAGCCUGAUCCAGCAAUGCCGCGUGAGUGAUGAAGGCCUUAGGGUUGUAAAGCUCUUUUACCCGGGAUGAUAAUGACAGUACCGGGAGAAUAAGCUCCGGCUAACUCCGUG